GACGAACGCUGGCGGCGUGCCUAAUACAUGCAAGUAGAACGCACAGUUUAUACCGUAGCUUGCUACACCAUAGACUGUGAGUUGCGAACGGGUGAGUAACGCGUAGGUAACCUGCCUGGUAGCGGGGGAUAACUAUUGGAAACGAUAGCUAAUACCGCAUAAUAUUAAUUAUUGCAUGAUAAUUAAUUGAAAUGUGCAAUUGCACCACUACCAGAUGGACCUGCGUUGUAUUAGCUAGUAGGUGAGGUAACGGCUCACCUAAGCGACGAUACAUAGCCGACCUGAGAGGGUGAUCGGCCACACUGGGACUGAGACACGGCCCAGACUACUACGGGAGGCAGCAGUAGGGAAUCUUCGGCAAUGGAAGAAAGUCUGACCGAGCAACGACGCGUGAGAGAAGAAGGUUUUCGGAUCGUAAAGCUCUGUUGUAAGAGAAGAACGGGUGUGAGAGUGGAAAGUUCACACUGUGACGGUAUCUGACCAGAAAGGGACGGCUAACUACGUG
rnacentral:rRNA from 1 species